UACCACCCUGAAUGCGUCUGAUCUUGUCUGAUCUUGGAAGCUAAGCAGGGUCGGGCCUGGUUAGUACUUGGAUGGGAGACCGCCUGGGAAUACCANNNN
rnacentral:rRNA from 1 species